rnacentral:rRNA from 1 species
UUCCUACGGGACGCAGCAGUGAGGAAUAUUGGUCAAUGGUCGGGAGACUGAACCAGCCAAGCCGCGUGAGGGAGGAAGGUACAGAGUAUCGUAAACCUCUUUUGUCAGGGAACAAAGACUGGGACGCGUCCCCGGAUGAGUGUACCUGAAGAAAAAGCAUCGGCUAACUCCGUGCCAGCAGCCGCGGUAAUACGGAGGAUGCGAGCGUUAUCCGGAAUGAUUGGGCGUAAAGGGUGCGUAGGCGGCCUGCUAAGUCUGGAGUGAAAGGUACCGGCUCAACCGGUACAGGCCCUGGAAACUGGCGG